GAAAUUGUUCUUUAAAAAUUGACCAAGUUGUGCAUUAAAAGUGAACUGCAAAACUAUUUCAAGAACAGUACAACUUUUCUAAUGCUAUAUUGAGUAGUAAUUAUCUGUUAUUCAUAGACAAUAUUUUUUUGAAAAUAUACCUUUAAGAACAAUGAAAGGAUUAUAAUAAAAGAAUUAGCACAGAGCACUAUUAAUGCACCUUUUAAAAGAGGGAAUUGAAUACAUCUCUCCAUGCAUAACUGUAUGUGUUGUGUUAUUGCUAAAUAAAGUUUUAAUUGUAAAAAAAAUCUGUACUUACAUUAUGAAACUCAGUUAUCACUAACUUUGCCAUAAAAUAAAAAUGCAUUAAAACAGCAGUUUAACUCCCAUCCAAAUCAUACUAAAGAUUCACUUCUCUAUUUAAAAAGGUCAUGUGAUUGCAAUUUAUCGCCUUCCCUGCCAGGUUAGGAUGAGCAAACACAGGUGAGGAAGCUGGCAGGAAUAUGCAGUCACAUGAAGUUCUCAUUUAAUGGUCCUCAUGGUCGCCAAUUAAUGAUCGCAAUUAGAACUGCAGAACUGGUUGCUAAGUGUUGCAACCAGUCACAUUAUUCUUUUGACUAAUGACCAAAAUGGAAUGUGUGAAUGACUUUGGGAGAUGAGGGAAAGAGAUGUUGUCUAGGAAACAAUCAAAGAGAGGGUACAGUCUCCAAGGAAUUAACAGAGAAAGAAUUGUAGGAUGGACCCACCCUAAUUAAUCAGAUGAUUAAAAGUGGCAGCAGGAAGUUUGCGCUUUCAGAUCUGCAAGAAUCUGUUAAUGGAGCCUUAUAAUAAAAUAGAUUUAGCUCAUAUGAUCAUGUUUCCUGCUUGAUUACCUGGGACAGCUGGCAAUAGCUGUACAGGGAAAAAUAUUUGAGGAGGUUGAACAAUAUUACGCCCAGUCUGGUAUAAAUCAGCACAUGCUGCAAUGGUCAGUUUCUGCUGAACCGGUAGUGGUUUGGUGGCCUAGGCUGCUGGAUCCAGCAGUGAUCUAGGCCUGCCAUCCCCCGAACUGGCACCACCACCUUGCUUUUUCCUUCUGUGCAUGCACAGAACAAUUUUUAUUGCACUGUGCAUGAACGCAUCAACCAUGUGUGUGCACGUGCCCACGAGCAAACCAGCAGUAGUGACUGAUGGAACCCACCUCUGACAUGCUGGGAAAGUAAAUGUUUCUCUGAAUGA